GCCGGUGUGGUGAAAUGGUAGACACGCGUGGUUUAGGACCAUGUGCCGAAAGGCGUAGGGGUUCAAAUCCUCUCACCGGCA
rnacentral:tRNA from 1 species